rnacentral:misc_RNA from 1 species
AGAUUCUUUUCAACUGCGCUUCAAAUGUCCUGUGAGCCGCUUUGUGCUGCCACAUGUACUCGCGUGAAAACAAAACGAUAUAAAAUGCCGAAAAUCGGUCAAUUUAAUCUGUCAAAAGGUUAUUUUUUCGUCCAUUCAACAUGUUUUCCUCAGUAAUUUUCAUAACAUAACCUCAGAACUCCACAUAAUUUUGUUGUUACGUUCAUAUAUAAGGAAUUACUUUGAAGGAAACUCUUUCUGGUCCAGUGAAUCCGGCAUCAUUACAAACGUUCAAAAAUGCGCUUCAGAUUUCUCGGCGAUGGUGACUGUCCCGAUUGGCUUCUGGCAGAAAUCAACGCCUUGUCCCGAAUGACUUCUAUCAAGAUGAAGAUAUUGGCGCAGCUCGUUGCCAAGUCAAUCACGGACCAAGAACUCGACGAAGUGAGAGUGAAGAAGCUCACCCAGGACGCAAAACUAGAAUCAGAGGAUGCAAAAGCAAUAGUAGCGGCCCUCGAAUUGAUUUUGACGUCGUCCGCUCGUUACGGAGUGACACCAGCUGAUUUGAGCAACGAAUUACAGCAGUUGGGACUUCCUCGUGAGCACAGUGCAGCUCUCGCUCGAAUUCAUACGGAUGUUUCAUCGAGGAUUGUCAGCGAAGCUCUGAUCCCACAGUCACUCAGACGCAGCCGCGUAUCUUCCGUCGAGAUAAAACAGACCGGUGAAGAUUUCAGUCCGUUUUGCAGGAUUUCACUGAAUUUGAAAAAGCUUGGAUCCAGCAAGGAAGCCGAGGAGGUUAUCGACGUAGCAAAAGAUGAUAUCCCUGUUUUAUUGGCAGAGUUGAAGAAAGUUCGGGCUAUGAUGGAAGGGAUCUGAUCGAAACAAGGAGACGACAGUCGAUGCAACACCGAGCAUCGUCCCCGAAAAAUGUCAUACUUCCAUGCGUAUAAAAAAGUUGAAGAUAAGCAGACGGGAUGGCCACUGAAAGGAAGUUGCGGUUAAUGGGACACGAGUAUCAAGAAAAUGCAUGACUUUCACACUCCAAUGAGAUGAGUUUCGAAGCAGAAAUGGAUUCCCUUUCGAAUAAAUUAUACAAUGUUGAAUCAAGUUAUCAUGCUCGAUCAUGUUAAUCUAUAAUGUAAAAUUCGCUUCGAGCUUGCUUCGACCAAUAUUAUUUUGUUUACAUUUUUCUUUGAAAAUCAGUCGAAAUUUUGCCAAAAUAUAGUUCAACUCAUCACUCGAUCUCACGCACCUAAAAAUUUCGAGUUACGAGCUGAAUUAAAUUAAAAAAUUCUAACCACAAUAUUCUCAAUAAAGUUUAACCUUCAUUCUUAGUUA